ACCGAAGCCCGCAGCCGCCUUCGGGCGUGACGGGCGGCUGGUAUCCUCUUUCUGAGGGGUGUAUGGUGCAGCUUGGGCCGGUCCUUUAGGGGUCGCGAAUUCCCUGUGAUGCGCCGGACCACCCCUUGGGCAACUCAGUGGGGGCAAUUGGAUGGCUCGUAGGCGCCUCUGGCGGCUUCGGCCCUGGAGGUGGCUCGGGCUGGGCGCUGGGCUUCGCGAGGUCCACGUUCCAACCUUUUAACUAACCCUGAUACCUCUUAGUUGAGGGUUGCCGGCUGGCCAUUCGUCCUUCGGGGCGGAGGGUCUCCCGGGAAAGAUAGUUACCUGGUUGAUUCUGCCAGUAGUCAUAUGCUUGUCUCAA
rnacentral:misc_RNA from 1 species